AUGCAGCUCAAUGUGGUGGCGUACAGUUUGUGCAUGUUUUUUUACUGCAAGUUGUGCAUCGUGCAGUUUGAUCUCGGCCACCACCAUCUCGUUGUUCCUGCCCUUGCGACGCGGAGGCCGCAGUCCACCCGACGUUGCGCUGCAGUCCGCUCCCAGCCCCUUAUCUACAAGUUUGUGGUGAAAAAAUUGUGGUUCACGUUGUUGUGUUGGAGAGAUCUACAAGAUACUCGUUCAAUUUUACUUUUUCAGGUUUUGCUUGGCAAAAAAUUUCAGUUCUCCCAUUCAGAUUCUUUUUUGGGCGUUCUGAUAUCCAGUGUAGUGCGUGUGAGGUACAAAAAAUGUGGUCCAUAUUAUUCAACUUGUGUGUGA
rnacentral:rRNA from 1 species